rnacentral:rRNA from 1 species
ACGAACGCUGGCGGCGUGCCUAAUACAUGCAAGUAGAACGCUGAAGGAGGAGCUUGCUCUUCUGGAUGAGUUGCGAACGGGUGAGUAACGCGUAGGUAACCUGCCUGGUAGCGGGGGAUAACUAUUGGAAACGAUAGCUAAUACCGCAUAACAGUAGAUGUUGCAUGACAUUUACUUAAAAGGUGCAAUUGCAUCACUACCAGAUGGACCUGCGUUGUAUUAGCUAGUUGGUGGGGUAACGGCUCACCAAGGCGACGAUACAUAGCCGACCUGAGAGGGUGAUCGGCCACACUGGGACUGAGACACGGCCCAGACUCCUACGGGAGGCAGCAGUAGGGAAGCUUCGGCAAUGGACGGAAGUCUGACCGAGCAACGCCGCGUGAGUGAAGAAGGUUUUCGGAUCGUAAAGCUCUGUUGUAAGAGAAGAACGAGUGUGAGAGUGGAAAGUUCACACUGUGACGGUAGCUUACCAGAAAGGGACGGCUAACUACGUG